AUUGCUGGACCCAGACUAAAAGAUUAGUCUGUAAAAGGAAGCAUUCUGGAACUGCUCACAGUGGUUUUAAGGAAUUCACAAAUGCAGACUCUGGAGAAGAGAACCUUAUGAAAGCCAGCUAGUUUCUGUGAAAAUUUCAUGGUUUGAUGAAACUGUGACACUGAAGGAGAGAGCCAGGUCUGCAACAUCAGAAGAAUGUUAAGUUAUGGAUUGGUUAUGCUACGUCUGAGAAGUAAGCAUACAGCACAGUCUCUCUGCACCAUUGCUGGCUCUAUCUUGUGCUAUUUAGGGCCCAGUGCAGCAAAGAACUGAAGCAUAUAUAUAUGCUUCAAAGUAUUUACGCACAAAGUAUUUCCAUUGACUUCAGUGGAAUUACUGCUUACUUGAAGAUGCAUAUUUGCAUCUCUGCUUUGCUGAAUUGGAGCCAUAAUGAGCCCCAUGACUUUCCAUCCUGAACUCACACCAUCAUGGAAAUAAAUACAUGUUUUAAAAAGCAUGCAAGCAAGAGCAAAAGACAUUUUUUAACCUUUUGUGAUUUUCUGUUGGUUUGUGUCACAGCUCACAACCUUGAUGUUCAUUGGGAGCAUCAGCCGUGAGGAUCUGGCAGUAACUUUGAUCUCAUUUAUGUGAGUUUUACAUCGACAUGCCGACUUCAGGGGAGUUAUUA